CGGAGGGGGCUAGCGUUGUUCGGAAUUUACUGGGCGUAAAAGCGCACGUAGGCGGAUCGGAAAAGUUGGGGGUGAAAUCCCGGGGGCUCAAACCUCGGAACUGCCUUCAAAAACUACUGGUCUGGAGUUCGAGAGAGGUGAGUGGAAUUCCGAGUGUAGAGGUGAAAUUCGUAGAUAUUCGGAGGAACACCAGUGGCGAAGGCGGCUCACUGGCUCGAUACUGACGCUGAGGUGCGAAAGCGUGGGGAGCAAACAGGAUU
rnacentral:rRNA from 1 species